GGAAAGAAACCAACAGGGAUUGCCUCAGUAACGGCGAGUGAAGCGGCAAGAGCUCAAAUUUGAAAUCUGGCGUCAUAGGCGUCCGAGUUGUAAUUUGGAGAGGCACCUUGCACGCGGGCCCGGCCUAUGUUCCUUUGAACAGGACGUCGCAGAGGGUGAGAAUCCCGUUCUCGGCAGGGCUUCCCGUGCGGCUUGGGGUGUCUUCUACGAGUCGAGUUGUUUGGGAAUGCAGCUCAAAAUGGGUGGUAAAUUUCAUCUAAAGCUAAAUAUUGGCGAGAGACCGAUAGCGCACAAGUAGAGUGAUCGAAAGAUGAAAAGCACUUUGAAAAUAGAGUCAAACAGCACGUGAAAUUGUUGAAAGGGAAGCGCUUGAGACCAGACUCGGCCAUGGACUAACAGCUUUCCCUGCCGGCGGUGCACUUGUCCCUGGCCGGGCCAGCAUCGGUUGGGGCGGCGGGACAAAGGCCGCGGGAAUGUGACUCCCUCGUGGAGUGUUAUAGCCCGCGGCGCAAUGCCGCCUGCCUCGACCGAGGACCGCGCUUCGGCUAGGAUGCUGGCGUAAUGGUCUUCA
rnacentral:rRNA from 1 species